AGCAGUGAGGCACAAGAGAACGAUUUGUUCAGUAGGCGUUGUGCGGGUAAGACGUGUGUGCACCAAGAAGUGUGUCUGCUCGCUGCUUUGUCACCAGUCCGAUUAACGUGAAGUGUAUACAACAAGGGAGAAGUCGGGUCUUGCCGGCCAUCCUCUAAACCUGGGCGAACAAGUCUCAGGCGUCAGUCAGAUGGAGCACGUCCCGCCACGAAUCUGGCACCGGCGUCCCUACAUCUGCUCACUACCAACUUGGUAGAGCCUCUGUUUCACUCGAGCUAACGCGUCAGCUACAGCAACGCUCGAGUCAGACCUGCACCCGCCCAAGCGUCUGAUAAGCCCAGGCAUCCUCUUCUGUCUGUGUCCAUGUGAUAGCAGUCCAUCUCCAGGUCGCCCUCUUCAAAAGAGGGCGUUGACAGUGGAGACGUGCGGUCCUGGCGGUCCAGCAUAGGUCCUGCCACUACUGAAGAGAGAACCAAACCAGCGUCUUAAUCACACCCAACUUGCGGCAAGAAAUUUUCUCUCGUUGCACUGGAAGAAGCCAACGGUCUCGCUGCAUCUUCCAUGGAGGAAUUGGACCCUGCCUCGCACCAGCUCUGCCAUGAUAACGUGCUGCCAUCAAGGGAGGACACUGCCUCGCUGCACCUUCCAUGGAGGAAUUGGACCCUGCCUCGCACCAGCUCUGCCAUGAUAACGUGCUGCCAUCAAGGGAGGACACUGCCUCGCUGCACCUUCCAUGGAGGAAUUGGACCCUCUCGCACCAGCUCUGCCAUAACGUGCUGCCAUCAAGGGAGGACACUGCCUCGCUGCACCUUCCAUGGAGGAAUUGGACCCUGUCUCGCACCAACUCUGCCCUGAUAACGUGCUGCCAUCAAGGGAGGACACUGCCUCGCUGCACCUUCCAUGGAGGAAUUGGACCCUGCCUCGCAUCAGCGCUGCCCUGACAAGUGGUGCCAUCCAGGAAGAGAGGACAUAUUAUAUUGCCUUGCUUCAUCUAACCUAACCUAACAAAUACAUGUUGCGAAUCACUCUUGUAAUGUUAUUCCUUCCAUGUUCUGAUGUGCCCACAUAACUGGUGUUAUACUUUAAUAAUAAAUAAAGAUUAAGGAAAUUGA
rnacentral:lncRNA from 1 species